GUGUCUAUUGAAAGAAGAGACGGUUAGCACUACCCUUGACAAGGAUGGAGUACAUAAAAUGGCGAAGGCACACUUUACCACAAUUUUUG
rnacentral:ncRNA from 1 species